AGAGAAGCGAAGAAAAAAAAAAAGAAUUGAAAUAAAAUGGGAAGAAGCUAUCCUAGGGGUCCUGAAAAGAAGAGAAAGAAGAAGAAGAAAGUAGAAAGUUGCUCUCAAAGUUGUCCAAAGUUUCUGCAUUCGGUUUCGUCACUGCAGCAGCUGCAGCAGAAAGCCGCAAUCAGCAGCAACGUGGGAGCCUGUUGGGGAGCGUCUGUCGUGAGGUUUUGAACGAAUGAGACAGAGAUGGGCUGUGGCAGAGACAUUUACACAAUUAUCCAGCCAGGCUUUGAUGAUGAUGUUCCACCAGAUUGAGUCCACCACCACCCACUCUACUGGGUCUGCAAGAAGAUACUGAUCUGACCUCUGUAGACCUCAUCCUGAAGAAGAGCCGCAUUUAGACACCAGAGAUUCCCAUUUCUAAUGCUCCGUCCCAUCCCCACCUCCGGAGAGGAGUGAUCACUCCAGGCGUUCUCUCGGAAGAGACAGGACGACACCUCGGAGACAAGAGAAGACGAGAUCAGGCACAAGUCCAGUCUUGAUUGUUUCAGUUUUCUAGCGAAUUGUCUUUUACCUUGUGAAGGGCAGUGGCCUUCGUUCGUUUUCUCUUUUCUGGUGUUUUAAAAAAUUAAGGUCCAGUUGCUGCUUCCUGCCAGCAAGCUCUGCUAUGGGAUCUUGAUGCAGACCUUCUCCUGGGUUAUUUCCUCCUGCAUCACUUCCUGUUAAAGUUCUCUUCUCCCAAUUGGUUACUCACCUUGAUUGCUCCACCAAUCCUGAAAGAGACCUUAUUUAAACUGGCACUUCGUUACAGACGUGGCAGUUGUAUUUUGUUGUGCAGCUGUGUCUCCCUUCUUGUUAUGGCCUUUAAACCAGGUCGUUACAAUUGAGGGCUCGUCUGAGUUUUGUAAAGAUGGAAAGCUUUAGGAUUAGGACAAUUUAAUUGGCAUUUGUUUUUGGUGCAUGCUGAUUGGACGACGAAGUCCAGCUGAGUCAAGGUAACCAGUCAAGGUGCUGUUUGUAUUUGCAAAUGCUGAUCUGUGGUUAUUUUGGGUAUACACCAUGUGUUUUAUUCUGGUAAUUAAAUAUAAAGAGAUUCCCUGUCAGGCUGCAAGACACUUCCUCUUUAGGUUGUGUCUGUUUGUUUUU